GUUCCCCACCUUCCCAGGGGCAGUGGGGCUCAGGCUUUGGUCUUCAGCCCUGGGGAGGCAGGGCAGCACACUCUGGCCAUGGAGCUUCGGGCUCUAGCCCUGGGCUACAGCUGUGUGGCAGCAGGCCCCAUGCUCCAUCCACACAGCCUUGGGCUCCAUCCCCAGGCCCUGUCUGUGGAGCUUCGGGAUCUAGACACAGGGAUUCAGGCUCCAACCCACAAGUAUUUUAGGAAAAAAUAUGAGAGCGGCCACCAGCAAGAGUUAGUGGCCGCACUCUGAGGCCACCAAAAAUUUUGUCCUGAGAACCCCCGUCCUAGAGGACUCUGACAUGAGUCCAAAGAAUGCACAAGAGUGGUGAGGAAAUGGAGGCAGAGAAAUAUAUACAGGUAUUUUAUUAUUUUGUCUAGAUCUGUACAUUUCUUAUGCUAGCUAAUAUAAAGAGCUAUUUGUUUUUGGAACCCUUACAAUGCUUGUGUCUCUAUUUGCUUCCACUAUCACAUGUCCCUGGAGAGGUGAACUGUAAACCUACAUUUCCCACAAGGUUGGAGCUCUGAAAGAGGAUGUGCUAAAGCUACUGGGGACUGGGAAGUCUGAGGAGUCAGCACUUGUCCUGCGUGCCUGCCUGGGUCAGCAGGACCAUGAAGUCCCAUUGUCAUGAAGUGAUAACAGAGUCUGGACCCAGGAAGCGUGCAACAGGAGAAUAUGGAGAUUCCUCUAUUAGGAGAUUCCUCUACAAUCAUUGGUGGUCAAACAACACAGCAAGUUCUUACAUGGAAAAAUAAUACUGCACAUCUGGACUGAUGUACUACUUCCCCCCAGAAACAAGCGAAGAAUGAAAUGAAGACAAUACUGAAGCAUACGCUACAGGAUCAAGAGUGGUAGUUGAUGGCUGAGUGAGUGAAGGAAGAGCUGGAACUAGCAUCCCUAUGCAGCAAUGCUUCUAAAGGUUUUACAUAGGAGCUGAUAUGAGCCACGUAUCGGUAUCGAGGCAAUAGGAACCUCGCCUUGGACCACCUCACUUGCAGUUAUAUUCUCUUUCUAUAACAAGCCAUGGAAGGGGAAACACUUCUUCUGAAGCUUACAAAAUAAGCCUCAUAUUAAAGGGGAUAGAAUAGCAGAAGAAUAAGAGAGUUGUAGAUGAUUUGCAAACAAACUCAUUGAGCUCUCACAAUGCUUUUAGUAUGAAUUAGUGAGGUGACAAAAGGACUGAAUAUGCUCUGAUAGAGUAGCCUCAUCCUGGAAGUAUAACCUUAAUUGUCUGUCAGAUUCAUUAAACAUGUUCAUUACUCUGCCACCGGUAACCUAGGGUACCUAAUCACUGGCAACAUGUUCACCACCACCACACAGGUAGCUCUUCAGCUAUCCACCAAUAUCAUGCCUUUAUUUCCACAGCUCAAUGAAUAUAGCUUUAUACAUAGAUCUUUCCAUCAUUAUACUGAAAAUAGUGACAUUAAGCAAUUACUUAUGGGGUUUUUGUUAUUGUGCUGCUAUUUAAUAGAAAUAACUCUCCACUGGCCUUUGUAAUAACCCCUCAGGAACUUGAAAAUAAAAAUGUUUUCCUUACUGAUUUUGUCCUUUUCCAUUUGGGAAACAGUUGUCUCACUGUUUGGGCACCUGCAUGCUAUUCCACUGAUUAAAGGGAUACCACUACUUGUUUAUUCUUCAUUGUUUAUAUUUCCCAUAUGGAAUCUUGAAAAUAAAAUUCCUUUCCCACUGACUGUCUUUAUUUGGGGAAUAUGUUGAUUCCUCCUUCCCCAUCCAUUUGCAGUACAGACAGCAACAACUCCGUUCUGUUUACUAAGAACCUGACCAGAUUAUAAUAGUGCUAUGAGACGACAAAUACUGUAACAUUUAGCAUCCUUUUACCUACUCGGAGUAGAAUUUGGAUUUAAAAAAGGCUGAAUGUUUCUUAGUCUCACAAGAGGUAAUGAUGUUUUUUCCACUAAAUUAGGAGCAGAAUGAAUAUGACUUUUUAUAGGAUCUUAGUUUAAAUUUUGAGUCUUGAGUAAUGACUGAUUACUUCCUGCAAAAUUUCACAUGCUUCUAUCGAACCUUAUAAAUCUUCAAAGAAUGUUGGAGAAACAUUGUCUUUGCCAUCAUUAAACUCAAAAGAUUAAUACAUCCUUUGGAUACAGCAAGGCCUCUCUUAAUAGGACUUAAAGAUCCAUUAGAGACAAUACAGUCAAAUCUUUGUAGUUCCACACUUGCACAAUGUAAGUGCCAUAGUGGUGCUUUUAGAAGCUGUUCUUGCAGUGUUAUGCUGAGCCAGCUAAGAAUUAAAGUGGAGGUGGGCAGGGAAUCCAUAAACAUAAGCAACACUUGGAUAAUUGAAAACAAGCACUUCAAAUGCCUCUCACAUAAACAUGGCUGGAAUAAGAAACAGUACUGUGGGAAGAGUGGCAAGGCCAAUGGAAGCUACAGAAUGCUUAACAGUAUCAAAAUCAAAAGAAAAUCAAACUAAUUAUACAUUGAAGAGAAAGAGAUAAGAGAACCAAACCUGAAAAUUAACACUCAAGGAGAUCUCUGUAGUAAUAAAUAUCUGCUACCUCUGACCAUCUGAGCUCAAAAGAUGGUUCCUUUCCUCUUCCUCUAACCAAGCCAGUGAUAAUAUUUUUCACAAAGUAC